AGGGCUGACACCAUUAGACAAACAGAAGAGUUUGUAAGGUUGGCAAGAACAAGACAUUGUAUGAGGGAAGAAACAGUUUCUCUUGGCCUCCUUAGAACUGCAAAGUAUUUAAUACUCCAGAACAUCCCCCCAAAUAACUAAUUAUUUGGUGAAUCCAAUGACAUGCUGAUGACUGGGACAACUUGGUAUUGUUUGGACUGCUCCAGAAGUUCAUAUUGAAACCAAAACAAGUCUACAAUGCUUCUAUUAAUGAUAUACCCUGUAAGGAUGACUAGUUUAUGUUUGGUUCACAUAUUGGCUUCAGGAAAAAUCUAUCAGGGAAAAGUUGCUGAUUCCACAAAAGAUUAUCUUGGAAGAUGUGUUUCUCCAUACAUUUCGAGUGCUCAUUUAGCUUUCUUCAAGCUUGAAACUUGUUAUUCUAGCUCAUAAUGGGAUAACCAUUAAGCCUGUACCCAAAUCCAAUCAAUUUCUGACUUGCUGGAAGCUCUUAAUUUGUCCUUUAAAGAAGGUUUCAAAGUUCAAGAAUUUGGACAGUCUUUAACAAAAGUUUGAAAGUAAAACUUUUGGCUUUCAUCAGAAUUGGGAAAAGAAAAUGUAGAAACAGGUUUGAUUAUACUAGAUACCAACUUUCUAAAGUCAAGAUGCUCUCUGAUAAGUCUAUGUACACUGCUGAGAUCACUUUAGUGUCUUUCUACCAACAAAGUCUUAAUUAUGUACUUCUUACACAUGAGGCAGAGAGCACUCUGCACACUUUGUUACUGAGUCUUCACCUACCCCUAGGAGUCAAUUGUGAUGACCAUUAUUUAUUGUAUAUUUGAUGGGCUUUAGAAUCAUCUGGGAGGGGUUAGGAGGGAUGGCUUAGUUACAGAAAACCCAGGUUUGAUUUCUAGCACCUAUACAAUGGCUUACAACUGUGUGUAACUCCAAUUCUGGGGAAUCUAAUAACCUCUUAUGACCAUCCUGUGUACCAUACACAAACACAGUAGACAGCCAAAACAACCAAAACACCAUCACCUAUAAAACAUAAAUAAAUCUUAGAAUUACCUUGGAGACACACCUCUAGGCAUACCUAUCAGGGUGUUUCAGAGAAGCUGAAGUGAGGAGGUGAGAUUAACUCUGAAUAUAAGCAUCACCCUCCUAUGGACUGGGGAUCCUAGACUACAUAAAAG
rnacentral:lncRNA from 1 species